CGUAGGGUGCGAGCGUUAAUCGGAAUUACUGGGCGUAAAGCGUGCGCAGGCGGUUAUAUAAGACAGAUGUGAAAUCCCCGGGCUCAACCUGGGAACUGCAUUUGUGACUGUAUAGGCUAGAGUACGGCAGAGGGGGAUGGAAUUCCGCGUGUAGCAGUGAAAUGCGUAGAUAUGCGGAGGAACACCGAUGGCGAAGGCAAUCCCCCUGGGCCUGUACUGACGCUCAUGCACGAAAGCGUGGGGAGCAAACAGGAUUAGAUACCCUGGUAGUCCACGCCCUAAACGAUGUCAACUGGUUGUUGGGUCUUCACUGACUCAGUAACGAAGCUAACGCGUGAAGUUGACCGCCUGGGGAGUACGGCCGCAAGGUUG
rnacentral:rRNA from 1 species